GUCCUCUUGGUAUACGACUGAAAAAGAAAGAGAGAGAACGAGAGCGCGUAAAGGAGAAUGACUCAGGUUACGAUCUUAUCCGAGUUCUCCCGAACGAACAACGAACGUUUAAAGACAGCUGUCAUACCAUUAUCGAAUCGUUUUCUUUGGACAAGAAUUUAAUUUGUAUUAAAGAAGUGUUUUCUUUUUUAUCUUUAUAUAUUGUUUAUUUCUACAUUUUGUCAACAAGUUUUGAUGACACACGAUGCAGUUCAUUGUAUUUGGGUCUCCUUUUAUAAUCUUAUCAUUACUAAUAAUUAGUGAACAAAUUGAAGAGGCUAACACAACCUAAACAAUCUGUGAUACCACGACAGGCCUUGGGUUUAAGCUUCUGACGAAUCAACAGCAUUUAUUAUGCCACUGGGACCAUUUACAUGGCAAUAGCUACCUAUGAAAAGGAUUCUUCGGCUUACGUACCAUUUUUCACUUAUGGAUUCAACUAUCUUCUGUAUCCCGAAUAUGGUCGUUUUUUAAGUAUGUUACUAUCCUACUCAAGAUGUGAGCUUUAUUAAUUCAAUUAUUAUUUUAUUGCUUACAAUUAGAGUUAUCAUGGAUGUAACAUUUAAUUUAAGCUCAAAAUUAUUCAUAUUUCAUUUUAUUUUACAGAUGACACGUUAUCGAAGGUGUUAUGCAGUAUAACGCUUUUAAUUGGUCUCUUAUGCAUUUUCCAAGAACAUCGUUGUUACUAAAUGGAUUUAGUCGUAUAUACAACAUUUUUUGGUGGCUUGAUCACUUACAACAUAGUUAAAUACUUCGCAUCUUACGAAAUUACAACAAAUCUUAGAAUAAGUAUAGACGGAAGUUUUGUUUUCCUCUUUAUCGUGGAGAUUAUUUUCCUCUAUUUUUAAACAAAUUUUAUCGACUUCAUUUCCUUACUUUUUCUUGGAUUUCUCUGCAGCUCGAUCAUCUAUUUCCGUAUAAAAGGUAAAAUGAUAAAUAAUAAAGAUAAGAAAAAAUAGUCGCUUAGCUUCUAUAACUAAAACAAAAAUAACUAAAAUAGAUGUAGCUAACGGGUAAAUUUCAUUCAAGUGUGAAGGCAAGCAUAGGCGUCUAUCAGCAUUCAUACGAAGCGUAAUAAAGUUUCGUUAAAAUGAGCUUCUCACACCAUUUUUACAAAAAAAAAACUGCAUAGAUUCUAAUUCUUUAAACUCAUACAACGUCAUAAACUAAAUAUUUGUUUGUUACUACAUCUAUAUAUAUAUAACAAAAAAAAAGAUAAUAGAGUAUUCGUUGAUCCUACUUUGAGGUCUGUCGUUAGAAAAAUCUGCAUCCAUUUACAACAUUAUUUCAAUAAACCAGAUAUUUUAUUCAAAAUUUAAAAAGUGCAAUCGAACAGGAGAGAUUUCGUAACAUAUUGAAGAAAAUAUUUUGACUUGACAAAAAGUAGUAUUGAUGGGAACGGCAGCGAGCGUAAAAGUUUGCUACGCGCUCUAUUCCCAUUUGAUCGUUUUUAAUACUAAAGUAAAAGAGAGUAAGAGAAAGAGAAAAUAAGGGUGGAGGUUGUAUGAGGUGGAGUGAGGGUUGGCCAGCAGGCCGAAGUUAGUCCGAGUUUGGCGAAGGGAUGAAACGUAGAGACUUCGUGUCUCUCCCUUUUUCGGGGGUAGCUUCUAUCAAUGUUGUCCGUUCAUGUGGAAACUUUCGGCUGCUGAAUCCCCCUCGGUGCAGGGAGUAGAAGCGGAGCGACAUCCGCGUUGCCUCCCACCUUUCUCACUAUAACACGAGGACGAGGAUGAACACAUCCCCCUUCCCAUCCUUCCAUUCCGUGCACGCGCGCGCGUACUUUUCUGCGCGCACAAUGAGCCUUCGUCCACUCUCUCAUUCUCAUUCUUUUUCUCUUUCCUUUUAUCUUUGUCAUAUUGCCUUCCAAUUCCAAAUCCCACAGAAUGAUCUAACCAGCUUGGAAGAUUUGCAUUUACCUAAUUGUGUUCCCUCCGUAUUUGCUUAGUACCAAGACCUAUUUAGAUUACCCGCUUUUAGUAGGCACAACCCUAUGUCGAGUCCGUCUUGAUUCUUUCUCGAAAUCCUACAAAAUGGUCUAUUGUGUGUUCUUUAUUUUCUUUUUAUAUUAUUUGUAUUAUUUUUUGAAAGUAGAUGUAAAAUUUUUUAUGAGUCCGCGAAUCAAUAGAAUCAUCUCAAUCCAUACGUUAUUAUUUUUAAACGAAUGAGAUAAACUAAAAAUUCACAUUAUCAUUCACAUGCUCCCUUUUUCCAGAAUUUCUGUAUUUUUUGGAAUACGAUCAGUAGUUGUUCUGGAUUGAGUAUUGGAUCAUUGCGCUCUUGCUCGUAAUUGUUAUACAUGGCUUUUGUUCUAUUACUCUGACGUGUGUUUUUCUCGGAGUAUUUGUAGUUUUCUUAUCGAUUGCUUAUUUUGUAGACUCAAUUUUAAUGUAUAUUAUUAUUAACGUCGUCAGAUGCGUGAUUGUACCUGAAUUCAGGUUCGCGGUCGUAAGCUUUUCAUUGCAAAAGUAAUCAUUUUGUUCAAUUUUUUUAUUUAUCUAUCUUCGUUUGUAUUUUUUCUUUUUAGAUAUUGGCCUAAUCCUAUUUUGGAUUCUUUUGUCCAUACUUCGAAUUACAUAUAAUGUUGCUCUAAAAUUUUUUACUUCAAUUGUCGACGCAACGAAUUAUCUUGUAACUUUACUAACGUUGACCAAGAGGAUAACGUCAUUGAUCGGUAACACACUUAAAAACGCAUGUGUAUUAGUAUAUCUAACGUGUAUUUUAAAAUUAGGACUUUUCUAUUAUUUGUUCUUGAUGUCAUUUUAUUUCUGAGAGAGUAGUUUUUGUUUAGUUUGUUUUUUUUCUAUACGUUACUUAGAAGGAUAGUUAUAAUUAUUUUUUCACAUUUAAUAACGCGAAAUAUAAUAUUAUAUCACUUACCUUUCAACUUGAUAUUGAAAGCUUAAUACUUCAGUAUUGAACGAUCGUUGUACAAAAUACACCAUUGUAUUUCGCGUUAUAUUCAUACCAAAAAAGAUGUUAUAUAAAUAUAUAUAUUUAAGUUGUUAACACGUACUUACUUAGAUGUACGUUCUUUUAACUUAACUUAACAAUCUUCUCUUUCUUGUUUCUAAUAUAUUAGUGCACGCGUGUGUUUUUGCUCUCUAUAUGUGUAUUUAGUGCAAUUAUGUGGGUAAAGAAUGUGACUCUGUUAAGAUUAAAAUGAAAUAACAUUUAUUGGAAUUGAGACAGCGACAGCUAACAAUGGUUCUAAUUUCCUACUACUUACAAUCUUAAAGGUAAUCACAGCAACAAUAUUAUCUCAUUAUUCACAACACUUACAUUGGAUUACGGUCGUAUUAAUAUAUAUGCAUAUACGUACGUAAUAUUUUAUAUACAUUUUCAUUAUUUCUCGUUAAUAAAUUUGUUUAUACUUAUACACUGUAUUCAUUACUAGUAUCGUUAUUACAGAUAAGAGAAGUGUUACGUGACCACUUCUACGUUAUGUUUUUUUUAAAUUACUUGUUGAUAAUCGGAAGGGAAAGAGAUAAUAAUGUUAAUCGAUCGGUUAUUUUAAAUAAAAGAAAUUCAAAAUAAUUAAGUUACCUGUGAUGAAAUAUUAAAUAAUUUAACUCUUUUCUGUGUAUUACAGCUAUUAGACAAAUUUAUUGAUUAUAAUCUGUGCAGAGAACGAACAAACGAAAAUGAUUCGAGGUUUUUAUCGAAUACGACAAAGACGCAGAAGUGGUAACUUACAGAGCGAAAUCAAAACGUACGUAGAUGUCUCGAAACGAUCGGUUAAUAUGAUAAGGGACCUUGGCUUGUAGAUCUUCGAACAAGAUGAGUGAACAAUGAAAAUUGUCUAAGUAUUAUAAAAAGCAACGACCAGUAAAUUCUAUUUGCGAAUCUAUGAUCUGUGCUCGUUUCUGUCCCUGCUUCUUUCCUUUUUAAAUUUCAUUUUAAUUUUGUUUUUUUUUUUUGUUUCUGUUCCAAAAAUAUAAAUUUACUAGAUAAUUUACAUUAUAGUUUCACGGUUUUAAUUUUGUCCGUAUUAACGUAUCGUAACGUCGCGUGAAAAAGUGCUUAUUGACGAUCGAAAGAGAAUGAGAAAGAAAAGUAAAGAAAAGAAAAGAAUUCGUGACUUUACGAGAAAAUACUGUUCGAUUCGUUUCUUCUACGCUUCUUGUACGGGACUCUCAAUGGAAUAGAUAGGAGAAGGAAGUGGAGGAGUAUGAUCGCAAUGGCAAUGAUCGAUAGAAUAAACGUUAUUAUGAUUGACAUGUUAACUUUUUAACACAAACGUAUAGGUAUUCUUUGUGAUUAAUUAUUGACCGUAUGACAAAUUGUAAGUGCUUGUUUGCUAUAUUUAUUACAAAGUUCGAUUCGUCGUAGCCCAUUUUCAGACGCUUUUGGUGAGAACUCAUGGCUUUGUUUCUCGAUAUAGGAUCGUCGACAAUCGAGGGAGCUUUUCGUGCAUUCGUAGGGGAGAUAAAAAAAAAAAGGGAAAAAAGUAAUAGAAGAGAGAGGGAGAAAGAGAGAUAGACGGGGGCAGUCCGAAUCGGGUUUAAAAUUCGAAAUAAACGCGUAGUCGGUGAUUCGUCGGUGUUUUACAUAGCUUCCGCAUCAGAUUUUGAGAUCGAUGGACUAAUUAUUCAGCGCAUGGCACUCAAUUAGCAAAAAAACGCGUUGUUUCGUUGUGCUUUGUGCAUCAUUAAAAACAUUUGGUCGAAUCAACCACGUCGCAUCCAUCGUCACGAAUCUCUAACGGAAGUUACAGGUGGUUGCCAGGUAGAACUACAUAUUUAUUUUUGCUCGCGCGCGCAAUAGAAUUUCACUUUAACGUUGAAUAUUUAAACCGGACUGUGCGGUGAAUUAGAAAAUGCGAUCUCCAAUGAUGGAUUUGGACUUUGUUAAAAAGGAAGUUUCUUUCUUAUAAAAGAACGCGCACGAUUGAACUCCAUGAUUGUGACGUUAAUUAAAACAAAAUGACCCGCGCGAAUUUGUUCGUCGGUGCAGAAAUCAAUAUCGUUCCGAAAUCCCUUUACGAAAUUUUCUAAAUUUUCCAUUCGGAUACGCUUCGACGAUCACAAGAGAAGAACGGCGAUUAUCGCGCGUACAAUUUCAAGCCAUUGUUGUUCUUAAACAUCCAAAUUCAUAGCGACGAUCGAAGUUUCAUAUAUUUAGUUUUAUUUUUUCUUCUUUAUUCGUUCGUUUAUCUCUUAACUACAACGUAUAUACAAUAUGCCGAUGAUUAUCGCUAAUUUACAUGUCUACGAUCUACAGAGAGUAACAAAUGCUAUUUUACAAUCAGCUUUAUACAAGAAGAAAUGUUGAGAUUAGGAAUUAGGUGAGGGAGAAGAUGUAAUUGGCAAAUGAAAAAGCGGAAAACGAGAAAAAA
rnacentral:lncRNA from 1 species